rnacentral:snRNA from 1 species
AGCUUUGCACAGUGGCAGUAUCAUAGCCAAUGAGGUUUAUCUGAGGCAUGAUUAUUGCUAAUAAA